AUUGAACGCUGGCGGCAGGCCUAACACAUGCAAGUCGAGCGGCAGCGGAAAGUAGCUUGCUACUUUGCCGGCGAGCGGCGGACGGGUGAGUAAUGUCUGGGAAACUGCCUGAUGGAGGGGGAUAACUACUGGAAACGGUAGCUAAUACCGCAUAACGUCGCAAGACCAAAGAGGGGGACCUUCGGGCCUCUUGCCAUCGGAUGUGCCCAGAUGGGACUAGCUAGUAGGUGGGGUAACGGCUCACCUAGGCGACGAUCCCUAGCUGGUCUGAGAGGAUGACCAGCCACACUGGAACUGAGACACGGUCCAGACUCCUACGGGAGGCAGCAGUGGGGAAUAUUGCACAAUGGGCGCAAGCCUGAUGCAGCCAUGCCGCGUGUAUGAAGAAGGCCUUCGGGUUGUAAAGUACUUUCAGCGGGGAGGAAGGUGUUGAGGUUAAUAACCUCAGCAAUUGACGUUACCCGCAGAAGAAGCACCGGCUAACUCCGUGCCAGCAGCCGCCGUAAGAC
rnacentral:rRNA from 1 species